AUUGAACGCUGGCGGCAGGCCUAACACAUGCAAGUCGAACGAGUGGCGGACGGGUGAGUAAUGUCUGGGAAACUGCCUGAUGGAGGGGGAUAACUACUGGAAACGGUAGCUAAUACCGCAUACCAUCAGAUGUGCCCAGAUGGGAUUAGCUAGUUGGUGGGGUAACGGCUCACCAAGGCGACUAUCCCUAGCUGGUCUGAGAGGAUGACCGGCCACACGGGAACUGAGACGCGGUCCAGACUCCUAAGGGAGGCAGCAGUGGGGAAUAUUGCACAAUUGGGGCAAGCAUGAUGCAGCCAUGCCGAGUGUAUGAAGAAGGCCUUCGGGUUGGAAAGUACUGUCAGCGGGGAGGCGUUAGCCGCAGAAGAAGCACCGGCUAACUCCGUGCCAGCAGCCGCGGUAAUUC
rnacentral:rRNA from 1 species